GCUCUUUUUCUGUUGUACUACUGUGAAAAACAGAUGAGCAGUGCAAUAUUAAAAGGGCAU
rnacentral:pre_miRNA from 1 species